rnacentral:rRNA from 1 species
AGGGCGUAUGGUGGAUGCCUUGGCAGACAGGACCGAUGAAGGACGUUUGAGGCUGCGAUAUGCCUCGGGGAGCCGCCAACAGGGCUUUGAUCCGAGGAUUUCCGAAUGGGGGAACCCACCGACCGUCAUGGGUCGGUACCGGCUUCGGCCGGGGGGUACGCAGGGAAGUGAAACAUCUCAGUACCUGCAGGAAAGGAUAUUCCGUGAGUAGUGGCGAGCGAAAGCGGAUGAUGGCCAAACCUUGCGCGUGUGAUACCCGUCGGGGGUUGCGCGCGGGGUGUUGCGGGAUCGCGUGCGCCGGCUCCGACGGGCCGGCCGGCAGUUGCAGAAAACCAUGUGUCAGGGGAACCGGGUUGAAUACCGGGCCGCAGAGGGUGAGGGCCCCGUACCUGAACGCGCAUGGUCUGCCGAUCGCGUCUCCCAAGUAGCACGGGUCCCGUGGAACCCCGUGCGAAUCCGCCCAGACCGUUGGGUAAGCCUGAAUAUUCCUGUCUGACCGAUAGCGAACGAGUACCGUGAGGGAAAGGUGAAAAGUACCCCGGGAGGGGAGUGAAACAGUCUCUGAAACCGUGCGCCUACAAUCCGUCGGAGCCCUUUUGUGGGGUGACGGCGUGCCUAUCGAAAAAUGAGUCUGCGAGUCAGUGGCAUGUGGCGAGCAUAACCCGUGUGGGGUAUGCGUAGCGAAGGCGAGUCUUAAAAGGCGUUUGAGUCGCGUGUCCUGGACCCGAAGCGGGAUGAUCUAGCCCUGAGCAGGUUGAAGCGCGGGUAAGACCGCGUGGAGGACCGAACCCACCUGGGUUGAAAACCGGGGGGAUGACUUGGGGCUAGGGGUGAAAGGCCAAUCAAAUUCCGUGAUAGCUGGUUCUCUCCGAAAUGCAUUUGGGUGCAGCGUCGGGUCAUUACGUCCCGGGGGUAGAGCUACUGGAUGCUUGCGGGCCCGUAUCGGGUACCAACAGCAACCAAACUCCGAAUACCGGUGACGCGUAUCCCGGCAGUGAGUCGGCGGGGGAUAAGCUUCGUCGUCGAAAGGGAAACAGCCCAGACCGUCGUCUAAGGUCCCGAAGCGUGUGCUAAGUGGGAAAGGAUGUGGAGUCGCAUAGACAGCCAGGAGGUUGGCUCAGAAGCAGCCACCCUUGAAAGAGUGCGUAACAGCUCACUGGUCUAGUGGUUCCGCGCCGACAAUGUAGCGGGGCUCAAGCACACCACCGAAGACGCGGCAGUAUUUUGUACUGGGUAGGAGAGCGUCCCAUGAGGGGCGAAGCGGCCGUGUGAACGCGCCGUGGACUUCAUGGGAGUGAGAAUGCAGACAUGAGUAGCGAGAGACGGGUGAAGAUCCCGUCCGCUGGAUGACCAAGGGUUCCAGGGCCACGUUCAUCGUCCCUGGGUGAGUCGGGUCCUAAGGCGAGGCCGACAGGCGUAGUCGAAUGGAUGAACGGGUCGAUAUUCCCGUACCGGCUUUCAGCCGCCAAAACCGAGGCUUGGAGUACUAACCUCCGGGUCCGGGCUUACUGCUCCUUCGGGGGCGGGAUGCCCUGGCCUGUUGGGACCGAUCCUUGUAGUAGGUCAGCGCAGGAGUGACGCAGAAGGGUAGCCGGCCGCGGAGGUGGUCUUCCGUGGUCAAGCACGCAGGGCGUGGGACAGGCAAAUCCGUCCCGCAUGGGUCCGAGGUGCGAUGAUGGGGGCCUUAUGGCCCGAUAUCCGGUGAUCCCGGCUGCCGAGAAAAGCUUCGGCGUCAGGCUCGAAGCCGCCCGUACCCCAAACCGACACUGGUGGUCAGGUAGAGAAUACCAAAGCGAUCGAGCGAAUCCUGGUCAAGGAACUCGGCAAAUCACUCCCGUUCCUUCGGUUUAAGGGAGACCCCCGAUGGUGAACACACUUGCUGUGGGAGCUUUUGGGGGUGGCACAGACCAGGGGGUAGCGACUGUUUACCAAAAACACAGGUGCAUGCGAAGGCGCAAGCCGCUGUAUAUGCACUGACGCCUGCCCGGUGCCGGAAGGUUAAGAGGAUCCGUCAGCCUUCGGGUGAAGCGGUGAAUUCAAGCCCCGGUAAACGGCGGUGGUAACUAUAACCAUCCUAAGGUAGCGAAAUUCCUUGUCGGGUAAGUUCCGACCUGCACGAAUGGCGUAACGACUUCCCCACUGUCU